rnacentral:misc_RNA from 1 species
GAUGAAGAACGUAGCGAAAUGCGAUAAGUAAUGUGAAUUGCAGAAUUCAGUGAAUCAUCGAAUCUUUGAACGCAUCUUGCGCUCCUUGGUAUUCCUUGGAGCAUGCCUGUUUGAGUAUCAUGAGCAAAUCUCAAAGUCAAUUCCUUUUGUUGAUUCAAUUGGUUUUGCUUUGGACUUGGAGGCCUUGCAGAUUUCACAGUCUGCUCCUCUUAAAUGCAUUAGCUGGAUCUCAGUAAUUAUGCUUGGUUCCACUCGGCGUGAUAAGUAUCACUCGCUGAGGACACUGUUAAAAAGGUGGCCAGGAAAAUACUGAUUGACCCGCUUCUAACGGUCUAUUAAGUUAGACAAUUACCCUUAAGUUUGAUCUCAAAUCAGGUAGGACUACCCGCUGAACUUAAGCAUAUCAAUAAGCGGAGGA